GGUUGGGUAACACUAACUGGAGGACCGAACCGACUAAUGUUGAAAAAUUAGCGGAUGACUUGUGGCUGGGGGUGAAAGGCCAAUCAAACCGGGAGAUAGCUGGUUCUCCCCGAAAGCUAUUUAGGUAGCGCCUCGUGAACUCAUCUUCGGGGGUAGAGCACUGUUUCGGCUAGGGGUCCAUCCCGGAUUACCAAACCGAUGCAAACUCCGAAUACCGAAGAAUGUUAUCACGGGAGACACACGGCGGGUGCUAACGUCCGUCGUGAAGAGGGAAACAACCCAGACCGCCAGCUAAGGUCCCAAAGUCAUGGUUAAGUGGGAAACGAUGUGGGAAGGCAUAGACAGCCAGGAUGUUGGCUUAGAAGCAGCCAUCAUUUAAAGAAAGCGUAAUAGCUCACUGGUCGAGUCGGCCUGCGCGGAAGAUGUAACGGGGCUAAACCAUGCACCGAAGCUGCGGCAGCGACGCUUAGGCGUUGUUGGGUAGGGGAGCGUUCUGUAAGCCGUUGAAGGUGGCCUGUGAGGGCUGCUGGAGGUAUCAGAAGUGCGAAUGCUGACAUAAGUAACGAUAAUGCGGGUGAAAAACCCGCACGCCGGAAGACCAAGGGUUCCUGUCCAACGUUAAUCGGGGCAGGGUGAGUCGACCCCUAAGGCGAGGCUGAAAAGCGUAGUCGAUGGGAAACAGGUUAAUAUUCCUGUACUGGGUGUGACUGCGAAGGGGGGACGGAGAAGGCUAGGCUAGCCGGGCGACGGUUGUCCCGGUUUAAGCAUGUAGGCGGAGUGACUUGGUAAAUCCGGUUGCUUAUCAACGCUGAGGUGUGAUGACGAGCCACUACGGUGGUGAAGUAGUUGAUGCCAAGCUUCCAGGAAAAGCCUCUAAGCAUCAGGUGACAUUCAAUCGUACCCCAAACCGACACAGGUGGUCAGGUAGAGAAUACUCAGGCGCUUGAGAGAACUCGGGUGAAGGAACUAGGCAAAAUGGUGCCGUAACUUCGGGAGAAGGCACGCUGGCAUUAGGUAAAGAGACUUGCUCUCGGCGCCGAAGCCAGUCGCAGAUACCAGCUGGCUGCAACUGUUUAAUAAAAACACAGCACUGUGCAAACACGAAAGUGGACGUAUACGGUGUGACGCCUGCCCGGUGCUGGAAGGUUAAUUGAUGG
rnacentral:rRNA from 1 species